GACGAACGCUGGCGGCGUGCUUAACACAUGCGAGUCGAACGGAAAGGCCCUGCUUUUGUGGGGUGCUCGAGUGGCGAACGGGUGAGUAACACGUGAGUAACCUGCCCUUGACUUUGGGAUAACUUCAGGAAACUGGGGCUACUACCGGAUAGGAGCUCCUGCUGCAUGGUGGGGGUUGGAAAGUUUCGGCGGUUGGGGAUGGACUCGCGGCUUAUCAGCUUGUUGGUGGGGUAGUGGCUUACCAAGGCUUUGACGGGUAGCCGGCCUGAGAGGGUGACCGGCGUCAUUGGGACUGAGAUACGGCGCAGACUCGUACGGGAGGCAGCAGUGGGGAAUAUGGCACAAUGGGCGGAAGCCUGAUGCAGCAACGCCGCGGGCGGGAUGACGGCCUGCGGGUAGUAAACCGCUGUCGCCUGAGACGAAGCGGGAGUGACGGUAAUGGGUAAAGAAGCACCGGCUAACUACGUG
rnacentral:rRNA from 1 species